GUGGUUAGGGGUGAAAUGCCAAUCGAACCCGGAGCUAGCUGGUUCUCCCCGAAAUGUGUUUAGGCACAGCGGUUGUGUACCUUGUAGAGGGGUAAAGCACUACUUCGCUGCGGGCUGCGAGAGCGGUACCAAAGUGACGUAAACUCAGAAUACUCUGCAAGCAUCAGCCAGUCAGACGGUGGGGGAUAAGCUUCAUCGUCGAAAGGGAAACAGCCCAGACCACCAGCUAAGGUCCCAAAAUGAAUGCUAAGUGAUAAAGGAGGUGGGGGUGCUUUGACAACCAGGAGGUUUGCUUAGAAGCAGCAAUCCUUGAAAGAGUGCGUAAUAGCUCACUGGUCAAGCGCUCCUGCGCCGAAAAUGAACGGGGCUAAGCAUUCUACCGAAGCUGUGGACUACUACGGUAGUGGUAGGGGAGCGUUCUAUAUAGGGUGAAGCACUAGCGGCAAGCAGGUGUGGACAGUAUAGAAGUGAGAAUGUCGGCUUGAGUAGCGAAAACAUAUGUGAGAAUCAUAUGCCCCGAAAUCCUAAGGGUUCCUCCGGAAGGCUCGUCCGCGGAGGGUUAGUCAGGGCCUAAGGCGAGGCUGAAAAGCGUAGUCGAUGGACAACGGGUUAAUAUUCCCGUACUGAUUAAAGAUUGUGGCGGGGGACGGAGAAGGUUUAGUAUUAGCCGGAUGAUGGUUACCGGUGCAAAGUUACGAGGUUAUGAGGAACGGAGAAAACGUUCUGAGCUAAGUGCUGAGUCCAAGGAGCUACGGCUCUGGAGUAAUACGAAUCAUACUUCCUAGAAAAGCCCGGACCACGUUAAUUUUUAAUUACUUGUACCCGAAACCGACACAGGUAGGAAGGUAGAGAAUACUAAGGGGCGCGAGAUAACUCUCUCUAAGGAACUCGGCAAAAUGACCCCGUAACUUCGGGAGAAGGGGUGCCUGCUUAACCGCAGGUCGCAGUGAAUAGGCCCAAGCGACUGUUUACCAAAAACACAGGUCUCCGCUAAGUCGCAAGACGCAGUAUGGGGGCUGACGCCUGCCCAGUGCCGGAAGGUUAAGGAAGUUGGUUAGUUUCGACGAAGCUAGCGACCGAAGCCCCGGUGAACGGCGGCCGUAACAAUAACGGUCCUAAGGUAGCGAAAUUCCUUGUCGGGUAAGUUCCGACCUGCACGAA
rnacentral:rRNA from 1 species